rnacentral:rRNA from 1 species
CCUACGGGAGGCAGCAGUGGGGAAUAUUGGACAAUGGGGGCAACCCUGAUCCAGCAAUGCCGCGUGUGUGAUGAAGGCCUUAGGGUUGUAAAGCACUUUCACUGGUGAAGAUGAUGACGGUAACCAGAGAAGAAGCCCCGGCUAACUUCGUGCCAGCAGCCGCGGUAAUACGAAGGGGGCGAGCGUUGUUCGGAAUUACUGGGCGUAAAGGGAGCGCAGGCGGUUCAUUCAGUUAGGCGUGAAAGCCCCGGGCUCAACCUGGGAACUGCGCUUAAUACUGAUGAGCUAGAAAACAGGAGAGGGUAGUGGAAUUUCCAGUGUAGAGGUGAAAUUCGUAGAUAUUGGAAAGAACACCGGUGGCGAAAGCGGCUACCUGGCCUGGUUUUGACGCUGAGGCUCGAAAGCGUGGGGAGCAAACAGGAUUAGAUACCCGAGUAGUC